rnacentral:rRNA from 1 species
AGUUUGAUCCUGGCUCAGGAUGAACGCUGGCGGCGUGCCUAACACAUGCAAGUCGAACGAAGCACAUAAUUACGAUCCCUUCGGGGUGACGAUUUUGUGACUUAGUGGCGGACGGGUGAGUAACGCGUGGGUAACCUGCCCUGUACUGGGGGACAACAGUUGGAAACGGCUGCUAAUACCGCAUAAGCGCACGAUGUCGCAUGACAAAGUGUGAAAAACUCCGGUGGUACAGGAUGGACCCGCGUCUGAUUAGCUAGUUGGUGGGGUAACGGCCUACCAAGGCGACGAUCAGUAGCCGGCCUGAGAGGGUGAACGGCCACAUUGGGACUGAGACACGGCCCAGACUCCUACGGGAGGCAGCAGUGGGGAAUAUUGCACAAUGGGGGAAACCCUGAUGCAGCGACGCCGCGUGAGUGAUGAAGUAUUUCGGUAUGUAAAGCUCUAUCAGCAGGGAAGAAAAUGACGGUACCUGACUAAGAAGCACCGGCUAAAUACGUGCC